CAGGGGCUUUCGUCCCGUCGACAGAGAAACAACGACGCACCUCGAACAAAUUUCGGCCCCUUGCAGUAACAGUAUUUACGACGCGGGAUCAAUCUUGCACUGGCAUGACGCGGCAAUAUUGAUUUCAAUGUCGUUCGAAUGAAAAA